UCUCAUGGAUGAGCAAAGAAAGUGGGUUCUUGAGAUGGAAUUUACUCCUGGUGAAAAUGCUGUGAU
rnacentral:pre_miRNA from 1 species